rnacentral:lncRNA from 1 species
AUAAAAGGUAUUGCAGCUGCCUCCUCAUCCUCACACUUGGAUCGCUUGCACUAGGAGGAGCCAGCUACUGUGUCAUGAGGAACUCAAGUGGCCCUGUGGAAAGGCGUGUGUGAUGAGGAACUGAGGCCUCUUGCCAACAGCCAUUGCACUUGAUUUUGCAGAUGAGUCUGGAAGUGUUAGUUGCAAAGAUAUGCAUUUACUUCUCUGGCUACAAAAAAGAAUAGAAAUGCACAAAGCAGAGCAGUGUGAAGAAGAAGAGGCGAUGACCCCUAGACCGACCAAAGCCCGUGCUCCACUGCCCAGUGCCUAUGUCCCACCACUGUCGCUGCCACCCUGCCCGAGAGAAAGGCUGAAGGGGAUGCUAAAGGAGAUAAAACCAAGGUUAAGUAGGAACUGCAGAGAAGAUCCACAAGGUUGUCUGCUAAACCUGCUCCUCCAAAGCCACAGCCGAAGCCCAGAAAGGCCUCUGCAAAGAAGAGAGAGAAGGUACCUACAGAGAAGAAGGGAAAAGCUGAUGCUGGCAAGGAGGGGAAUAACCCUGCAGAAAAUGGAGAUGCCAAAACAGACUAGGC